rnacentral:rRNA from 1 species
UGGCGCACGGGUGCGUAACGCGUGGGAAUCUGCCCUUAGGUUCGGAAUAACUCAGGGAAACUUGAGCUAAUACCGGAUGAUGUCUUCGGACCAAAGAUUUAUCGCCUAAGGAUGAGCCCGCGUAAGAUUAGCUAGUUGGUGAGGUAAAGGCUCACCAAGGCUACGAUCUUUAGCUGGUCUGAGAGGAUGAUCAGCCACACUGGGACUGAGACACGGCCCAGACUCCUACGGGAGGCAGCAGUGGGGAAUAUUGGACAAUGGGCGAAAGCCUGAUCCAGCAAUGCCGCGUGAGUGAUGAAGGCCUUAGGGUUGUAAAGCUCUUUUACCCGGGAUGAUAAUGACAGUACCGGGAGAAUAAGCUCCGGCUAACUCCGUGCCAGCAGCCGCGGUAAUACGGAGGGAGCUAGCGUUGUUCGGAAUUACUGGGCGUAAAGCGCACGUAGGCGGCUUUGUAAGUUAGAGGUGAAAGCCCGGGGCUCAACUCCGGAACUGCCUUUAAGAC